UUUGGAUAUCAUCAAAUUUAUUUCUUUCAUGAGUCAUAGAGGGGUAAAUGAACCCAUAUACAUCAUUGAACCCUUUCUUGUUAUUGGCAUCAAACAUAUACCUGAAAUGAAGAAAUAAUCUGAUAUAAGUAACUUGAUAAAAAAGAAUUAUAUAAAAAAGUUCUCAUAAACUUACAUUCUCCACAGCUGAAUAAGUGUAAUAUUAAUUUAUUCUCUCCCCG
rnacentral:lncRNA from 1 species